AGUUAACCUAAGGCUCUUCAUUUGUAAAAUGGCGACUACCUGUCUUUACUUCCCAGUGCUGUUCUGAAGAUCAAAGAGAAAAAAGGUUCUGCCUUUGGGCAGACGCUGCAACCAGACGUAUGGAAGCAGGUUGACAUUCUUUCCUCGGCCUUACUCUCCAGAAGCUCCUGGAGAUACAAGUCACAAAGAGUGUGGAUUUCCAGAUUUGGGAGGAGAAAGAAGAAGGGGUCAUUUCUAAUACAACAGAGGGCAUACUACCAACUUCAUUGUUCUGCGACUCCCUUAGCCUCACCUGCUGUUGAGCACUACUCCACAGCUCUCCAACGCUUCUGGAGAUAUGAAGGUCAACCAGAGUAACUGCAUAGUCUGUCGGAGCUUCCAAAUCCCAAAACCUUGGGAGACUGCAGCAGAAAUAUAGCUAGCUCUUCAGAGGUCUCCCCUCUCUGCACAGCGAGUCCCUGCUGACUACUCUCCUGUUCUUUAGUAGCCAUUCCUCACCAGUCUCCCUUUCUCUUAUUCAAUUUCUAAUGCCCUCCUCCCCCAAUCCGAAUGCAGAUA
rnacentral:lncRNA from 1 species